UUUUUUUUUUUUUUUUACCUGACGCCUGUGUAUUGUUUUCUGUUUUGUUUCGGCCCUUAGUAUUUCUUUUUUAAAAACAUCUUUUUCUGAGUUUUUAACUUGGAUGACUGACUUACUAAUUUUCAUUAGCCCAUUAAUAUAAACAUUUAAGGGUCUGAAUUUUUCUGUAAUACUGCUUUAGCUGAAUAUCAUGCUUAUUAUUCAGUUUUAAAUAUUUUCUGAUUUCCCCUAUAUAUAUUUUUUUUAUUGUGAGUUAUUUAGAAGGAUGUUUCUUAAUUUCCAAAUAUUACGGGGUUUUCAAUAUAUAUUUUUACUAUUAUUCUACAUUAAUUGCAUUUUGAUCAGACAGUGGAUUUAUGGGAUUCUCACUGAUCUGGAUUUUGUUGAGGUGGGUUUUGAAUGGAUCAGUUUAUAAACAUUCCAUACAUGCUUUAAAACAACAUGAAUUCAUCAGGUUAUGGUACCCUUUUCUCUCUGAGUCCACCAGGUAGAGCUUGUUGAUUGCAUUAUCCGAUUCGUCUUGUCCUUACUGAUUUUUGUCUUCUUGCUCUAUCAAUUACUGAGAGAAGUAUGUUAAAAUUUUCCAUUAUGAUAAUGAGUACCUGUUUCUCCUUAAGUUUCUGUCAAGUUUUCAUUGUAUGUAUUUUGAGGCUAUGUUAGUAUGUGCAUAUAUAGAUUUAGGAUUGUUAUCCUGUUACUUCAUUUUUACUUGGUUCUAGAUAAUGUUAUCACAUCUGUUUUCUAUUUGAUGAGUUCUCUUUUAAGCUCUUCCUAGUCUUUUGUUAACCCAUUGAUUAAGUGUUAAAUUCCAGUUACCAGUUUGUUUUAAGACAUUCCCAAUGGUUUUUAAGAAAACCUACAUGAAAUUUUAAAAUUAUCUCUUGCUGUGUAUUCACACUUUCAGUCUUCUCUUUUAUUUCUUCAGAUAUAAAAUUUUAUAAUCUGUGCCUGAUAAUUGCAUGGGUGACGUUUUUGCAGGUCUGAUUCUGCUGUCGUUUAUGAAUCCUGGUUUCUGCUGAUGGUACAUUGUUUCCUAGUGUACUUUGUGAUUUUUGACAAUUUAUUGGAAGUUUAUUGUGGCAGUUAUUUUAGGCCUGACACUGAGGGAGUUUCCUCUAGAGGGAGUUUCUGUUAACUUCUAAUCUGUGUUCUUUUAUAAAGCAUGUCUCUUGUAAAUAGCUUGUAGUUGGUCUUCUCUGCCCUCCAGUUUAUUCUAACAUCCCUGUGUCUCUAUAUUGGAGUGUUUAGUACAUUUGUAUUAAAUUUAAGCCUGUUCUAUUAAUUGGGCCUAGAUCUAUCAUAAUUUAAAAAUUUGUUUUGUGUUUUCUCACCUGUUCUUUAGUCAUCUCUUUCUGGUUAAAGCAUCAGUCAAGUAUUUAGUUACUUCAUUUCCUCUUCUCUGUUAGCUUUCUGUGUUCUUGUUGCGGUGGCUGUCUGAUCGUGGUGUGCGUUCUUGACUUACUAGAUUACCUGGUAAAUCAGCGCUGUAUACUGUAUACUCUCUCUGGGGCAGAGUUUGGGAGCAGCCUUGCUGGAUGGUUGUGGCGUAGGUCUCCUGUGAAGAUGGUUUUCAGAAGGCUUGAUGUGGCAGGCUGGAGGAUGCCAUUCCGGGCUGGUUCGUUCUGCCAGCUGAUGGUCUCUGUUGCAUGCUAAGGGCAGGUUUAGUGUCCUCCUGACCUGGGGCUGGUGUCUCAGGGCAAGUGUCCGUGUGGGAGCAGGAUAGACACUGUAGUAUCUUUUAUAACUGAGUCUUGGAGUCACGUGCUGUCAUUCUCCCGGAUGGUGGUCACAUCAGUCAGGCCAGGUCAGUGUGGGAGAGGCCAGGAGUAAACUGCAGGAG
rnacentral:lncRNA from 1 species